rnacentral:rRNA from 1 species
GACGAACGCUGGCGGCGUGCUUAACACAUGCAAGUCGAACGAUGAAGCUGGAGCUUGCUCCGGUGGAUUAGUGGCGAACGGGUGAGUAACACGUGAGAAAUCUGCCCUUCACUCUGGGAUAACUGCGGGAAACUGUAGCUAAUACCGGAUACUUUCCCUGGUGGGCAUCCACUAGGGAAGAAAGAAUUUCGGUGAAGGAUGAUCUCGCGGCCUAUCAGCUAGUUGGUGAGGUAAUGGCUCACCAAGGCGACGACGGGUAGCCGGCCUGAGAGGGUGACCGGCCACCCUGGGACUGAGACACGGCCCAGACUCCUACGGGAGGCAGCAGUGGGGAAUAUUGCACGAUGGGCGAAAGCCUGAUGCAGCAACGCCGCGUGAGGGAUGAAGGCCUUCGGGUUGUAAACCUCUUUUAGCAGGGGAGAAGCGAAAGUGACGGUACCUGCAGAAAAAGCACCGGCUAACUACGUGCCAGCCGCCGCCGUAA